rnacentral:rRNA from 1 species
UACGAAGGGGGCUAGCGUUGCUCGGAAUUACUGGGCGUAAAGGGCGCGUAGGCGGCUUUAUAAGUCGGGGGUGAAAGCCUGUGGCUCAACCACAGAAUUGCCUUCGAUACUGUAGAGCUUGAGACCGGAAGAGGUAAGUGGAACUGCGAGUGUAGAGGUGAAAUUCGUAGAUAUUCGCAAGAACACCAGUGGCGAAGGCGGCUUACUGGUCCGGUUCUGACGCUGAGGCGCGAAAGCGUGGGGAGCAAACAGG